UGAAUGGUGACAUACACCGUAC
rnacentral:siRNA from 1 species